UUUACUCUCACACCCGAUAUGAGUGUUAUUUUCUGUAGUUCUCUUCUUAUCAGUUUAAUCCCUGUUAUGUCCCCAAUCUGGGGUCCAUUUAUUGAAUUGAUUUUUCGAAUGGGGAGAUGGUUAAAAAAACGCUGGCUCCCUCCCCUUUGUUUGAAUCCACGGUCACUGCAUUUGCGCCGUGCAAUUUACUCUCACA